rnacentral:rRNA from 1 species
UACGUAGGUGGCAAGCGUUGUCCGGAUUUACUGGGCGUAAAGAGCGCGCAGGCGGUCGAAUAAGUCGAAUGUGAAAGCCCCCGGCUUAACUGGGGAGGGUCAUUCGAUACUGUUCGACUUGAGGGCAGGAGAGGGCAGCAGAAUUCCCGGUGUAGUGGUGAAAUGCGUAGAUAUCGGGAGGAAUACCAGUGGCGAAGGCGGCUGCCUGGCCUGUUCUUGACGCUGAGGCGCGAAAGCUGGGGGAGCAAACAGG